rnacentral:misc_RNA from 1 species
CCGAGUUAUCAACUCCCAAACCCCUGUGAACAUACCUGAACGUUGCUUCGGCGGGACCGCCCCGGCGCCCAUCUCGGCGGCCCGGAACCAGGCGCCCGCCGGAGGACCCAAACUCCUGCUUCAUCAGUGGCAUUCUCUGAGUUACAAACAAGAAAAUGAAUCA